rnacentral:snRNA from 1 species
AGCUUUGCGCAGUGGCAGUAUCGUAGCCAAUGAGGUUUAUCCGAGGCGCGAUUAUUGCUAAUUGUAUUUGUCCAAAGCCAUGCAACCCAGUGAUUGGCUCCCCAGUCAUUACAGAUCUUCCUUCACCAGAUUGGU